AUACCAACUUGCAAUAAGUCACAUUGAAUUGAUAUACUGAGUUAUCCAUAUCACACACACAUGUGAAUGAUUUUAUUGGUUGAUGUCACGUGUGACAAGAAAUCAAGAACAAAAUACUACAGUACAUAAAACAAGAUCAUAUAUAGCUUAAUAGCUCAACCAACAAACAUAAACCAAUCACCAAAACUCAAAGAAGAGAUAGAGAAAGAGAAAGAGAAAGAGAGUAAAAAUGUACUCAGAUCAACCACCUCUAGUUCAAGAAAUAACAUACUAUGAUCAUGUUAAGAGACGCCACCACGAGAAAGGAUGCAUCUAUGCAGCUUGUUUCGCGUUAUGCUGCUGCUUUUGCUGCUAUGAAACCUGUGAAUGCUGCUUCGAUAUCCUCUGCUGUUGCUGUUAAGCAGAAGCAUUCAUUUCAGAAACAAACCGUGUCUGUACUACUGUAUAGUACUACUUUGAGAAUGGAAUUUGUAAUGGAUUAAGAUGGGUUUGUAUCUUUGAUUUUGUAAAGUUCUGUCUUGUUUCAAUAAGAACAUCAUGUUUGUAAUUUGUAAAGUGCUGUCUUAUUAACUUCAUCUAUGUAAUUGUUUGGUGUUCCAAAAUAUUCAACAACUAUUGCUACA